rfam:Medicago truncatula strain A17 chromosome 1, whole genome shotgun sequence.
UGCCGAAGUUUUCCUCGGUAGUUAACUGCAAUCGGUUCCAUAAUUCAGCAGUUAACCGCCGAAGGGCAU